UGUGACGUCACCACUAAACCAUUUGCCUGAGUGAGCCGUGAGGGAGGGACGUGUUGUGACUGGCUGCUACAUAAUGUGGUGAUUAAAUGUUUAGUAUUUUUAUAUUAAGUUAUUUAAACACAAGCAUAUGCCGCUACUGUCCUCUGUGAUUGUGUGGCUGGCUGAGGUGAAUGGCUGGCUGCCUGAGGUGGACGGCUGGCUGGCUUAGGUGGACGGCUGGCUGGCUUUAGCAAACAUCUGGCAGGACAAGAACCCCACCAAACAGAUGAAUGAUGGAGAAUCAGUUGCAGGUUAGUUUCCUUAAAUUCUGUAGAUCUGGGAG